UACGUAGGUGGCGAGCGUUGUCCGGAUUUAUUGGGUUUAAAGGGUGCGUAGGCGGUCCUAUAAGUCAGUGGUGAAAUAUCGCAGCUCAACUGUGAGGGUGCCAUUGAUACUGUAGGACUUGAGUGAAUUUGAGGUAGGCGGAAUUGACGGUGUAGCGGUGAAAUGCUUAGAUAUCGUCAAGAACACCGAUAGUGAAGACAGCUUACCAAGCUUCAACUGACGCUGAGGCACGAAAGUGUGGGGAGCGAACAGG
rnacentral:rRNA from 1 species